AAUGAACGUUGGCGGCGUGGAUUAGGCAUGCAAGUCGCGCGAUAAGUCCCCGCAAGGGGACGGAGAGCGGCGAAAGGGACAGUAAUGCGUAGAUACCUACCCUCGGGCUCGGGAUAGCUGCGGGAAACUGCAAUUAAUACCGAAUAACGUCUCCGGACCAAAGGUGUGAUUCCGCCUGGGGAUGGGUUUGCGUCCUAUUAGCUAGUUGGCGUGGUAACGGCACACCAAGGCAAAGAUGGGUAGCAGGUGUGAGAGCACGACCUGCGUCACUGGGACUGAGACACUGCCCAGACACCUACGGGUGGCUGCAGUCGAGGAUCUUCGGCAAUGGGCGCAAGCCUGACCGAGCGACGCCGCGUGCGGGAUGAAGGCCUUCGGGUUGUAAACCGCUGUCAGAGAGGCGGAAAUAUAGGGGGGUUCUCCCUUCUAUUUGACCUAUUCUCAGAGGAAGUGCGGGCUAAGUCCGUGCCAGCCGCCGCCGUAA
rnacentral:rRNA from 1 species